CCUACGGUGGGCAGCAGUGAGGAAUAUUGCACAAUGGGGGAAACCCUGAUGCAGCGACGCCGCGUGAGUGAAGAAGUAUUUCGGUAUGUAAAGCUCUAUCAGCAGGGAAGAAAAUGACGGUACCUGAUUCAUAAGCCCCGGCUAACUACGUGCCAGCAGCCGCGGUAAUACGUAGGGGGCAAGCGUUAUCCGGAUUUACUGGGUGUAAAGGGAGCGUAGACGGCAGCACAAGUCUGGAGUGAAAUGCCGGGGCUUAACCCCGGAACUGCUUUGGAAACUGUGCAGCUAGAGUGCAGGAGAGGUAGGUGGAAUUCCUAGUGUAGCGGUGAAAUGCGUAGAUAUUAGGAAGAACACCAGUGGCGAAGGCGGCUUACUGGACUGUAACUGACGUUGAGGCUCGAAAGCGUGGGGAGCAAACAGGAUUAGAUACCCCAGUAGUC
rnacentral:rRNA from 1 species